rnacentral:rRNA from 1 species
UACGUAGGGAGCAAGCGUUGUCCGGAAUCAUUGGGCGUAAAGCGCGCGUAGGUGGCCUCGUAAGUCCGCUGUGAAAGUCAAAGGCUCAACCUUUGAAAGCCGGUGGAUACUGUGAGGCUAGAGUACGGAAGAGGCGAGUGGAAUUCCUGGUGUAGCGGUGGAAUGCGCAGAUAUCAGGAGGAACACCCAUAGCGAAGGCAGCUUGCUGGGACGUUACUGACGCUAAGGCGCGAAAGCGUGGGGAGCGAACAGG